rnacentral:rRNA from 1 species
AGCGAACGCUGGCGGUAGGCCUAACACAUGCAAGUCGAACGAACCCUUCGGGGUUAGUGGCGGACGGGCGAGUAACACGUGGGAACGUGCCUUUAGGUUCGGAAUAACUCAGGGAAACUUGUGCUAAUACCGAAUGUGCCCUUCGGGGGAAAGAUUUAUCGCCUUUAGAGCGGCCCGCGUCUGAUUAGCUAGUUGGUGAGGUAAUGGCUCACCAAGGCUACGAUCAGUAGCUGGUCUGAGAGGAUGACCAGCCACAUUGGGACUGAGACACGGCCCAAACUCCUACGGGAGGCAGCAGUGGGGAAUCCUGCGCAAUGGGCGAAAGCCUGACGCAGCCAUGCCGCGUGGAUGAUGAAGGUCUUAGGAUUGUAAAAUCCUUUCACCGGUGAAGAUAAUGACUGUAGCCGGAGAAGAAGCCCCGGCUAACUUCGUGCCAGCCGCCGCAGUAACAC